rnacentral:rRNA from 1 species
AACGAACGCUGGCGGCAGGCUUAACACAUGCAAGUCGAGCGCCCCGCAAGGGGAGCGGCAGACGGGUGAGUAACGCGUGGGAAUCUACCCAUCUCUACGGAAUAACGCAUGGAAACGUGCGCUAAUACCGUAUACGUCCUUCGGGAGAAAGAUUUAUCGGAGAUGGAUGAGCUCGCGUUGGAUUAGCUAGUUGGUGAGGUAAAGGCCUACCAAGGCGACGAUCCAUAGCUGGUCUGAGAGGAUGAUCAGCCACACUGGGACUGAGACACGGCCCAGACUCCUACGGGAGGCAGCAGUGGGGAAUAUUGGACAAUGGGCGCAAGCCUGAUCCAGCCAUGCCGCGUGAGUGAUGAAGGCCCUAGGGUUGUAAAGCUCUUUCACCGGUGAAGAUAAUGACGGUAACCGGAGAAGAAGCCCCGGCUAACUUCGUGCCAGCCGCCGCAGUAACAC